UACGUAGGGUGCGAGCGUUAAUCGGAAUUACUGGGCGUAAAGCGUGCGCAGGCGGUGAUGUAAGACAGGUGUGAAAUCCCCGGGCUUAACCUGGGAACUGCAUUUGUGACUGCAUCGCUGGAGUGCGGCAGAGGGGGAUGGAAUUCCGCGUGUAGCAGUGAAAUGCGUAGAUAUGCGGAGGAACACCGAUGGCGAAGGCAAUCCCCUGGGCCUGCACUGACGCUCAUGCGCGAAAGCGUGGGGAGCAAACAGG
rnacentral:rRNA from 1 species